rnacentral:rRNA from 1 species
GAUGAACGCUGACAGAAUGCUUAACACAUGCAAGUCGACUGAGUAGCAAUACUUGGUGGCGGACGGGUGAGUAACGCGUAAAGAAUCUGCCUUUAGGACUGGGACAACAUUUAGAAAUGAAUGCUAAUACCGGAUAUGAUGAUAGAGCCGCAUGGUUUAGUCAUGAAAGCUAUAAGCGCCUAGAGAGGACUUUGCGUCCUAUUAGCUAGUUGGUGAGGUAAAGGCUCACCAAGGCGACGAUAGGUAGCCGGCCUGAGAGGGUGAACGGCCACAAGGGAACUGAGAAACGGUCCUUACUCCUACGGGAGGCAGCAGUGGGGAAUAUUGGACAAUGGGCCACGAGCCUGAUCCAGCAAUUCUGUGUGCACGAUGAAGGUUUUCGGAUCGUAAAGUGCUUUCAGUGGGGAAGAAAAAAUGACGGUACCCACAGAAGAAGCGACGGCUAAAUAUGUGCCAGCAGCCGCCGUAAGAC